AAAAGAACCUAAGACUGAGAAUUAUGAAAAAUAAAAAUUAAAUUAAGAUAAAUUUAAUUAAAUUAUUAUUGUAAAUUUUCCUUUAUAAAAAUUAAUAAGUAAUUUUAAGUAUUGUUAUUAUUAUUAGUUUUGGUUGUAUAAAAAAUAAAAAAGUAAUAACCUGAAUUGAAGUAUUUAAGAGGCAUGGCAGCGGCCUUCAGGCCAAAAUUGUGAGUAUGUGUGAUUGAUAAUUAUAUAUGUAUGUUUCAUGUAUGUUUAUGUAAAAGUAUGAUUUAGUCAAGUCAGUUCAUGUGCGCAGCGAAUUAUGUCUGAUAAAUAAUGUUCAUGCAUAGCUUGCCCUAACCACCUUUUAAUGAUAAAACAAAGUAUGUAUGAAGAGGGAUGGAUAAAUGUGAGAGAAUGCUUUUUAACAUGUUAAUUUGCAUGUGGAUCUGUAUGUGUCUGAGUCUUGGAAGUGGAAUGGUGUGGUAUGUUGUAAAAUAUGUGGCAGUACUGAGAAUAAUGGCACAAGGAAACUGCACUAAGCAGUUAUCUGUUAAAACAAAUAGCUCGAGCUGUGGAGUGUAAGGAGACGGGACAGAUAAGUUGAAGAUAAAAUGCGCGUUGAUGUCGGAACAAGUUGUUAUUGUUGUCUGAGUGUCUUAUCGGUUGUUAUCGUUGUUGUUAUCCGAGGAAGUCGGUGAUAAAGUGGUAUUGUGGAAAUCUGCAGAAGUCGCUAAUAAAUUGUUAUUGUGGUUUGAGACUAUAGUAAGAGGUUGUAGCGGCCCGUGAAGAGGGCCGAAAGAACUACAAGUCUAAUCUGUAGUUGUUGUUGUUGUUGUUGUUGUUGUAAGUCGUUAAAUAAGGUGUUGUUGUGUUGUGAGAUUUGAACAAAGAGCUCAUUCGACCCGGGGGAAGGGUCAAGAGAACUGGCGGUCUUACGAAUAAUCAUUGUGCCCUCUCAGGAAUGAUUUAGACGCGCAUGAAGUUCUGUUUGGCGGGGAAGCCAAAAUCGCUGUGCCCUCUCUGGAGCGAUAAAAAGAUAAUGCGGAUCCAAGAACAGCGCCUAUGAAAGAGGGCUGUUAUAGUGAAAUAGCUGUAGAGUAGAAGAGAAGAAAAUAAUAUAAGGCCUUUGUAAAAAUAUGUACAUAAAGUGUGAAAACUGAAAAAAAAAUGCAUGAAUGUAAAAUAGAGGAGUAAGGUACCGUGUAAAUAAUAAAAUAGAACAAGUGAGGCAGGACAAAUUAAAAGAAAUAGAUAAUUGUAGUAGAAGAAAUUGUUUUUUGUUCUUUGACAAAAAUACGUAAGUAAACAGUUAAAUUGUUUAAAUAAAAAAAGAGAAUAAUAAUCGGAAGGCCAGAGCAGGAGCAAUCUAAUCCAAAAAAGAUAACGGCAGCAAGGAAGAAAGAAUAGAAGAUAAAAGUAACGCAGCGCCAGCUGUGCCAGUCAGCGUCCGACAGGAUGGGCAUAACACACAGUAAGCGGCCGACGGGACUGACACCCGCAGAAUUAGUAAUGUUAAAACACCCAACGCAAAAGAGAAAAAUUCAGGAGUGCAUGAAAAGAUGGCACGGGGUAUCCUCUGGAGCCACAAAGUGGCCGUUAGCAGGGACCUUUGACCUAAAUUAUUGUGACUGAAUAGAGGCUGAAUUACAGAGAAAAGACCUAAAGAAUGAUGAUAAUAAAUGAUAAUGAUAAGUAGAAGGAAACAUGACAAUUUCCACUGUGAGAAGUAGACGGGAGAAUAGUGGGAAAAAUUACAGUAGAGGUGAGAGAGAGAGGGCCAGAAGCAGAACACACACAUACAAUCAAAAAUAGAUCAGGGGAGACCUUGAAAACCAGCCAGCGCCCAGCACAGAAAACAAUGAGACACUGUCAGGGCAGCUGCAAUUUAGACUUCAGCCAAACCUUCUGCAUUUAGCAGAGAACUUAGACUUGGAGUAGAGAGCAAGCAUUAAAAUCGAUGCUGUGACAAAUAAGUAAUAAAUAAUAAUAAUAAUAUAGGCGGCAGGUAGAGCAGGUAGGCUCGUCAUCGGAACAAGAUACUGAACCCCAAAUUGCUCCUGAUGUGCAGUUGGCACCUUGCAGUGCCACUGCCAUCAGUGAGGGCCCUGCGAUGAGCUGAUGACUCGUCCAGGGAGUGCCCUGCCUUCACCCAGACAGAUAACUGCGACUGGCUCCAGUAACAAACCCUGCGACCCCAUAAAAGGGAUGAAGUGGUGACGGACAACAAUAAUGAUGCUAAUAAUAAUAGUAAUAAUAAUAUUUAAUAAACAAUAAGAAAAUAGUAAAUAAUAACAGAAUAGUAAAUAAUAGAAGAAUAGUAAGUAAUAAGAGAAGUGUAAUUAAAAUAACUGAUAAUUAUAGGCAAAUUAAAGUAAUAUGAUAUGAUAAUAAAUUGAAUGAUGAGGAUAAAGUGGUGGGUGAUAACACAGAUACAAGCAUAAAAAUGAAAAUAAAAUAAUUACUGAUGACUAUUGCGCCACUAAACGGGACAUGGAAAAUCAAGGUGUCGGAACGCAUUUUUGGCUUGAACAAACAUAUUUUGAUGAUGAGGAAAUUGGACAUUGGAAACUGAGCAAGAAAUCAGUCAAACAUUAUGGCAUUUGACGAAAGUUGGUAAUACAGACUCUUCCGGUUUGUAAUCAAUGUGCUGUAAAGAAUAUGAUCAGGAUGUGAGAGGAGGAGGAGAGACUCCCAUUUGGAGUGUCAGAAAGUCAUAUAAGAGGCAAUUAUCUCUACAUGAGGGGUUAUCGUUUUGAGAGGGAGUAAGAUAUGAAGUGCCGUGAAAGUAUGUGACCUCCACUCUGUUGUAUUUAAGUCAGUAACAUUUGGAAGACUGGAGAGAACAGUCUGGACCUUCCCUACAUGCAGCAUGCAUUAAAGAGAUCUGAUUCAUCACACUGAGUCUAACAUUCUUAAGAUAUAAGAUAAUCCUUAUAGGUGAGUAAGAAAUUGAAAGGAAGUGACUUAUGCAAACCUGAUAAAGGGUAAUACAAUGAAAAUAAUAGCAUAUAAUAGGAAGAAAAUAUAAUAUGAUACAAUAUGAGAUACUGUAAUAAUGAUAUGAUACAGUACAGUAUUACAUGAGGCCCCACUACAAUAAAAUGGGUGUAUGAGUGAAAAUAAAUAUAUGAAAUAAGUAUAAAGAAUAAACUUCGUGGUGACAUUCAGUGACUAGUAUACAGCCUGUAUACUACAGGGGUGCGUUGCUCGGAACGAAUGUGUCAUACAAACCAAAAAGUUACCCAAAGUUAGUGUGUGGUUGAUGAGAUCCAUCCAUACACUGUAUGGGAAGAGCAGAAUGAUUGUGAAAUUUGUUUGAAUGAUAAGUCCAUUGAAAGUUUAAGCACAUCUGUCCCAGUGAGUCAGCUGAAAACAUAAGGAACAAAACCGGAAAUUUAUAAGCUCUAUCUGACCCUCUUACAGGCUCUGCUGAAAUAAUGGCAGACAAAUGGGGAAAUAAUGUGGUUAAAAAUGUUCAACUUUGGCACUGUGUCACCCAUGGGGUGCUUCCAGUAAAAGGCACAUUAAGCACAGAAUGUUUAAGAUAGUGUAAAAUAUGUUAAAAGAAAAGGUAACAGGAAAGCAGGAAAGAAAAAAAGGUAGACUGACAAGUUUUUAAAAUCAGUAGUGGGACUGAAACGGUAAUGGGAAAAUAGAGUUUGAGUAACAUAAAGAAGAAACAAUGUAGGGCCAGAAUUAGGAAUUGACCUCCUCCAUGCUGUCUCCACACCUACAACCCUCCUUUAAACAAUACCUUCUCCACACAAGGUCAGGCAUCCCAGGAUGACUCUGUGAAGGAGGGAGGAGGAUAACCAGUACACCCUGUCUUUUCAGCCCUCUUUCUCUCUUCUAAAAUGAGUCACAAAUUAACCUUGCUUCUCCAAAAAAGCCUUUUUCUCCACCAGCCAGCUUCUACUGACUACUGACUGCGGAGUCGAGAUCACUGAGGGGAUGAUGUUCCCCGACCCCGUGCUGAGGCAAACAAGGAAGCAGACUGUCAUUGAGAUCCAGAAGUGUUUUAUACACAGGCCAUGUCAGCCAAACAAAUUGAAGGAGGCUACAGAGGUAUCACCUGACACAAAGACUGGAGUCGGGUGGGCCACAGAGUCCUGGACAAAGAUGGCAGGCACUGCACAACAGCCAGAGGAAAAGGAGACUGGGCCCGUAUCAAAUUAUCAAGGAAAGUGCAACAGCACUGACCAGAUAAGCUAUGCUGCAGAAGUAAGGUUAUGGGAACCCCGAGCUUAAUCAUCAAGAAGGGAGAGAUCCAGAGGAAUCCUGACCACAUGCACCAGCUAAAGGUGUCUGUUCAUUUCCCAGGAUUCACCUUGACACAGCCAAAGGAGACAGCAGAGGUCAGAGAUGGAUCCUGCUUCAGAGACGUGACAAGCAACAACACAGGUUAAGAAAUUGUACAGUUGCUGCCAGAUGAUAUAUUUACCACAGUCCAAACAAUCUAUCUUGCCCAACCAUGCUCAGCACAGCUUGCAGAAAUUAAAGCUUUUAACUGCCGCAAAGCAAAUUAUCAGAAGGCAAGCGGUUAAAUGUAUACUCACAGUGGGCUAUGCAUACGCAGUGUGUCAUAUAUAUGGAAAUAUCUGGAAACAGAGAGGUUUUCUCAGAGCGGAAUGGCACACCAGUAAUGCAUGGAGCAGCCAUCUUAACACUAAUUCAAGCAUUCAUCUAUCAAGUGUAUCAGCUAUUAUCAAGUGUGCUGCUCACCAAAAAAGCAGUUCCCUAAUAGCCAAACGCAAUAGCCUGGCUGACGAGGCCACUAAACAAGCUGAAACCGGUACAUGUGUUGGACGGUUGAAGGCAGCCGAAAACUGUGAACCACUCACCACUUUACCAUCCUUAAUAGCAGCCCAGAAGGAGGCUGACAUACGUACAGUUAGUGUGGUUAAAACGUGGUGAUAUUAAAACCACUCAAGAAGACCACCAGAAAGGUUUAUGGUGUAAGCACAGUAGAUAAAACUUUAGCAGAAUGUUUGUGCAAACAAUACUCUGAGGAAAGCCUUUCCUGCUGCAAAAUUAUACAAAUUAUACAAAUGUGUUUGCCAGAGUGCAUGAAUUCUGAUAACGAGUCAUCUUUUGAUAGAGAUAAAGAUUAAACUAGGAGUUUGAGACCAUGGACUUCUGAAAAUAAAGACAGUUCAGGCUAAAAAGGGCAGAGACUAUCCAGGGUGGGAAAAAAAAAAAAAGAGCACUCUUCAAUUUGGGCUAAGAGAAAAGAAAAGGGUAUUUGUAGGACAGAGAAAUGCAGGUUAAAAUACAGCCUUAAGUCCAUGGACGGCAAACAUCGGAUAAAUAAUCAAAAAGCAAGGUAAAUUAAAGUCUAAAUUAAAGGAAAUGUGAGAAUAAUGCAUGCGAGAACCAAAACUGAAAAAAACACACACAAAAAAAAAA